rnacentral:rRNA from 1 species
CAGCAGCCGCGGGAAUACGGAGGGUGCAAGCGUUAAUCGGAAUUACUGGGCGUAAAGCGCACGCAGGCGGUCUGUCAAGUCAGAUGUGAAAUCCCCGGGCUUAACCUGGGAACUGCAUUUGAAACUGGCAGACUGGAGUCUUGUAGAGGGGGGUAGAAUUCCAGGUGUAGCGGUGAAAUGCGUAGAGAUCUGGAGGAAUACCGGUGGCGAAGGCGGCCCCCUGGACAAAGACUGACGCUCAGGUGCGAAAGCGUGGGGAGCAAACAGGAUUAGAGACCCCUGUAGUCCCUGUCUCUUAUAC